rnacentral:rRNA from 1 species
GUGGGGAAUAUUCCGCAAUGGACGAAAGUCUGACGGAGCAACGCCGCGUGAGUGAUGAAGGUUUUCGGACUGUAAAGCUCUGUUGUUUAGGACGAAAGUGCCUGUUGCAAAUAGUUACAGGUAUUGACGGUACUGAACGAGGAAGCCACGGCUAACUACGUGCCAGCAGCCGCGGUAAUACGUAGGUGGCAAGCGUUGUCCGGAAUUAUUGGGCGUAAAGAGCAUGUAGGCGGGAAUCUAAGUCUGUUGUGAAAAUGCGGGGCUCAACCCCGUAUUGCGAUGGAAACUGGGUUUCUUGAGUGCAGGAGAGGAAAGGGGAAUUCCCAGUGUAGCGGUGAAAUGCGUAGAUAUUGGGAGGAACACCAGUGGCGAAGGCGCCUUUCUGGACUGUGUCUGACGCUGAGAUGCGAAAGCCAGGGUAGCGAACGGGAUUAGAAACCCGUUAGUCC